AGCUUUGCGCAGUGGCAGUAUCAUAGCCAAUAAGGUUUAUCCAAGGCGUGAUUAUUGCUAAUUAAAAUCUUAAAAAUGGGCUUUUAUGUAGUAAAUAUCUUAUUUUUAAGUUACCUUAAAUUCCUACAAUAAAAUACA